ensembl:snRNA U2 U2 spliceosomal RNA
ACUGUUUCUUGACUUUUUGGCUAAAAUCAAGUGUAGUAUCAGUUUAAUAUCUGAUAGACUAUGACAGAACAGUAUAUUAAAUGGAUUUUUGGAGUAUAUUAACUGGAGUUUUGGAGGUAGGAGGUGGACUAGCUUGCUCUUUCCACUACAUGCAGCAACCUGAUAUUGAAGUACUUCCAAGAAUGGUGCAACCUUC